CUACCUAGCGUAGACACGUUGAAUGGACCAUUUCCCACGGAUCACUGAAAUUAAGCAACGUUGCACGUGGUUAGUAAAUGGGUGGUGACCAUAUCAGGAAUCGUGCUGCUGGGUUCC
rnacentral:rRNA from 1 species